rnacentral:rRNA from 1 species
GACAGAGGGUGCAAACGUUGUUCGGAAUUACUGGGCGUAAAACGCGUGUAGGCGGCACGGCAUGUCGGAUGUGAAAUCCCAUGGCUCAACCAUGGAAGUGCACCCGAAACUGCCGAGCUAGAGUCUCGGAGAGGAAGGCGGAAUGCUUGGUGUAGAGGUGAAAUUCGUAGAUAUCAAGCGGAACACCGGUGGCGAAGGCGGCCUUCUGGACGAUGACUGAUGCUGAGACGCGAAAGCGUGGGGAGCAAACAGG